CCGUGCGCUUACAAGCAGUCAUAGCCCCACAGUCUUGUACUGGGGUGGUGGCGUGCCUAUUGAAGCAUGAGCCGGCGACUUCGAUCCGUGCAGUUGGCUUAAACCGUUAGGUGUAGGCAAAGCGAAAGCGAGUCUGAAUAGGGCGAAUUUAUUGCACGGACGAGACCCGAAACCUGGAGAGCUACGCCUGAGCAGGUUGAAACCCCCUUAACCGGGGGUGGAGGACCGAACCAGUGUCUGCUGAAAAAGAUUUGGAUGACUUGGGUGUAGGAGUGAAAAGCUAACCGAUCCAGGAGAUAGCUGGUUCUCCCCGAAAUGCCUUUAGGGGCAGCGUCGCGUGUAUCACUUGUCUUGUAAAGCACUAAUUAGGCUAGGGGGCCUACCAGCUUACCAAACCUUGUUAAACUCUGAAGGGGCAAGAUGUUGCGCGGCAGUGAGGCUGUGGGAGCUAACUUCCAUCGCCAAGAGGGAAACAACCCAGAUCGUCAGCUAAGGUCCCUAAAUACUGGUUAAGUGGUAAAGGAUGUGAGAUUGCUAGGACAGCCAGGAGGUUGGCUUAGAAGCAGCCACCCUUUAAAGAGUGCGUAAUAGCUCACUGGUCGAGUGAUCUUGCGCCGAAAAUGAUCGGGGCUAAACCAGUUACCGAAGCUACGAAUGCAACAGUUUCGCACUAUGUGAACGAAAAUCAACUGAGUUUCGGUUGAUCUGUUGUCUGGUAGGGGAGCGUUCCCUAAGCCCGUGAAGCCAGAGCGUAAGCGCUGGUGGAGGUAUGGGAAGUGCAGAUGCCGGUAUGAGUAACGAUAAGAAAAGUGAGAAUCUUUUCCGCCGUAAGCCCAAGGGUUCCUACGAAAUGGUCGUCAGCGUAGGGUUAGGCGGGACCUAAGCGGUAGCCGAAAGGCGAACGCGAAUGGAUCACAGGUGAAUACUCCUGUCCCACGACGUGCUGUGAUGGAGUGACGCAUUAGGCUAGCCGUACGGAGUUAUGGUUAUACCCGGUGGGCAUCAAAGGUUGAACGACAGGCAAAUCCGCGUUCACAAGACUGAUGAUGUUCAGGAAGCCCCUACGGGGGUGAUAACUCGGUAACGCCAUGGUGCCUAGAAAAGCUUCUAAACGUUAAACCACGUCGUGCCCGUACCGCAAACCGACACAGGUGGGCGAGUGUAAAUGCACUAAGGCGCGCGAGAGAACUCUGGCCAAGGAACUUUGCAAUCUAGCCCCGUAACUUCGGGAUAAGGGGUCCUGGUGAAAGCCAGGCGCAGUGAAUGGGUUCAAGCGACUGUUUACCAAAACCACAGCACUCUGCCAACUCCAAAGAGGAAGUAUAGGGUGUGACACCUGCCCGGUGCCGGAAGGUCAAGAGGAGCGGUGAGAGCUGCGAAUUGAAGCCCCGGUGAACGGCGGCGAUAACUAUAAUCGUCCUAAGGUAGCGAAAUUCCUUGUCGGGUAAGUUCCGACCUGCACGAAAGGUGUAACGACUUGAACGCUGUCUCGGUCAGAGACUCGGUGAAAUUGAAUUGGCUGUAAAGAUGCGGCCUACCCGUAGCAGGACGAAAAGACCCCGUGGAGCUUUACUACAAUCUGAUAUUGGUGUUCGGGCUGACCUGCGUAGCAUAGGUGGGAGUCAUCGAAGCGAGAGUUUUGGCUUUCGUGGAGACAACAGUGAAAUACCACCCUGGUUUGUUUGGACUUCUAACCCUUUUGGGGACAGUGUUUGGUGGGUAGUUUGACUGGGGCGGUCGCCUCCUAAAAUGUAACGGAGGCGCCCAAAGGUCACCUCAGCGCGGUCGGAAAUCGCGCAUAGAGCGUAAAGGUAGAAGGUGGCUUGACUGCGACACGGGCAUGUGAAGCAGGGACGAAAGUCGGGCUUAGUGAACCGGUGGUACCGCAUGGAAGGGCCAUCGAUCAACGGAUAAAAGUUACCCCGGGGAUAACAGGCUGAUCUCCCCCGAGCGCCCACAGCGGCGGGGAGGUUUGGCACCUCGAUGUCGGCUCGUCGCAUCCUGGGGCUGGAGAAGGUCCCAAGG
rnacentral:rRNA from 1 species